AUUCGUCGCCGGCGUGAAUUAUCCCGUAUUUUUUUCCCCCUUCCGUCACCUCCCGAAAGAAGAAGGCAGCUAGAGCCCGGCGCCACCGGCACAACAAAAAGAGCAAAGUGUGUGAUCUUCCUCGCCGGCUGCCUCCCGCUCUCCAGCGCUGCCUUCCUGAAUGGCUGGCUGCGUCCGGCCCUGGACCUGGCCCCCCGACACCCGCGCGCCCUGAUCGCCGCCGGCAGCCUCGCCCAGCGCCCUGCUCGGCUCACCGCGCUCCCUGCACUCCCGAGCCCGGCGAGGGCUCCCGCCGGGACAGCAGCGGCGGCGGCGCGGGCGGCCCCGGCCUCCGCUCGCGCUCCGGCUGCGGCCCCGACUCCUGCUCGGACUCCGGCCCGGGCCCGGGCUCCUCCAGCGGCGCUCGCCGCAGCAGCUCCGGCGGCAGCUCCAGCGGCGCCUGCAGCCGCGACCUCCUCCUCCUCCGCCGCCGCCGCCGCCUCCGCCCUCGCCGGCUUCCUCUAUGUCGGCUCAGCCCGCGCGCUGCGCGUAGCCCGAGCGGCCGGCGGGCGGGCGGGCGGGCGCCCGGCGCGGGUGAGCGAGUGUGUGUGCGAGUGUGUGUGUGCGCGGGGGUGCGGGCGAGGCGGAGGGCGAGUGUGUGCGCGCGCCGUGGCCCAUGCCCGCCGCCCCCGGCGCUGCGCCCCGCGCCGCUCCCGGCUGCCGCCUGUGCCAUUUCUGAUUUUGCAACUUGGGGAAGAAGAAAAAAGCGAGAGAAGGGAGCUUGCUCGCCGGGGGGUGGGGAGGGGGGAAGGAGAGCGCGGCCCCCCCAGGAACGGAGCGCGGGGGGAGCGGGCGAGGGGAGCAGGGGUGUUGGGGGGGGAGCCUGAGAGCCUGGGGGGGCUGCAAAAAGAGAGAAAGAAAACAGCAGGAACCACAACAAAACGCCAGCAGGGCGGGCGGGCGCGCAGCAGCAGCGGGGCGGCCGAGGCAGUAGCGGCGGCAGCGGCGGCGGCGGCGGAGGCAGCGGCCGGUGCCCGGCUCGGGCUCGGCUCCUGCGACCCCGGGGCGCCCGGCGGGCCCCCCGCCCCCUCCCCCUCCCCCCUUCCCCUUCCCCUUCCCCUCCCAGCGCGCCGGCGCGCCCCGCGGCCCUCGGCGAGCAGCUCGGCUCCCCCC
rnacentral:lncRNA from 1 species